UUGGAGGGCAAGUCUGGUGCCAGCAGCCGCGGUAAUUCCAGCUCCAAUAGCGUAUAUUAAAGUUGUUGCAGUUAAAAAGCUCGUAGUUGAAUUUCGGGAUCAGUAUUUCGGUCAUGCCGUUGGUAUGCACUGUUAUCAUUGAUUUCUCACCUUCUAAAGAACCGUGAUGCCAUUAAUUUGGUGUUACGGGGAAUUAGGACUGUUACCUUGAAAAAAUUAGAGUGUUUAAAGCAGGCUCACGCUUGAAUACAUUAGCAUGGAAUAAUGAAAUAGGACAUCCGAUUCUAUUUUGUUGGUUUCUAGGAUCGAUGUAAUGAUUAAUAGGGAUAGUUGGGGGCAUUAGUAUUCAAUUGUCAGAGGUGAAAUUCUUGGAUUUAUUGAAGACUAACUACUGCGAAGGCAUUUGCCAAGGAUGUUUUCAUUAAUCAAGAACGAAAGUUAGGGGAUCGAAGACGAUCAGAUACCGUCGUAGUCUUAACCAUAAACUAUGCCGACUAGGGAUCGGAUGAUGUUAAUUUUUUAAUGACUCAUUCGGCGCCUUACGGGAAAC
rnacentral:rRNA from 1 species